rnacentral:rRNA from 1 species
ACCAACCCGAUGCAAACUGCGAAUACCGGAGAAUGUUAUCACGGGAGACACACGGCGGGUGCUAACGUCCGUCGUGAAGAGGGAAACAACCCAGACCGCCAGCUAAGGUCCCAAAGUCAUGGUUAAGUGGGAAACGAUGUGGGAAGGCCCAGACAGCCAGGAUGUUGGCUUAGAAGCAGCCAUCAUUUAAAGAAAGCGUAAUAGCUCACUGGUCGAGUCGGCCUGCGCGGAAGAUGUAACGGGGCUAAACCAUGCACCGAAGCUGCGGCAGCGACACUGUGUGUUGUUGGGUA